rnacentral:rRNA from 1 species
GGAUCAUUACUGAGUUUACGCUCUACAACCCUUUGUGAACAUACCUAUAACUGUUGCUUCGGCGGGUAGGGUCUCCGCGACCCUCCCGGCCUCCCGCCCCCGGGCGGGUGGGCGCCCGCCGGAGGAUAACCAAACUCUGAUUUAACGACGUUUCUUCUGAGUGGUACAAGCAAAUAAUCAAAACUUUUAACAACGGAUCUCUUGGUUCUGGCAUCGAUGAAGAACGCAGCGAAAUGCGAUAAGUAAUGUGAAUUGCAGAAUUCAGUGAAUCAUCGAAUCUUUGAACGCACAUUGCGCCCGCCAGCAUUCUGGCGGGCAUGCCUGUUCGAGCGUCAUUUCAACCCUCAAGCUCUGCUUGGUGUUGGGGCCCUACAGCUGAUGUAGGCCCUCAAAGGUAGUGGCGGACCCUCCCGGAGCCUCCUUUGCGUAGUAACUUUACGUCUCGCACUGGGAUCCGGAGGGACUCUUGCCGUAAAACCCCCAAUUUUCCAAAGGUUGACCUCGGAUCAGGUAGGAAUACCCGCUGAACUUAAGCAUAUCAAUAAGCGGAGGAAAAGAAACCAACAGGGAUUGCCUCAGUAACGGCGAGUGAAGCGGCAACAGCUCA